CUUNUGAACCUGGCGGCGUGCUUACACAUGCAAGUCGAACGAACCUUCGGGUUAGUGGCGGACGGGUGAGUAACGCGUGAGAAUCUGCCCUCAGGAGGGGGAUAACGGUUGGAAACGACCGCUAAUACCCCAUAUGCCGAUAGGUGAAAUGAAUUUCGCCUGAGGAUGAGCUCGCGUCUGAUUAGCUUGUUGGUGAGGUAAUGGCUCACCAAGGCUUCGAUCAGUAGCUGGUCUGAGAGGAUGAUCAGCCACACUGGGACUGAGACACGGCCC
rnacentral:rRNA from 1 species